UAAUUUCUAGUCAAUGAAAUGUAAUCUUAGUUCAUUUCUAACUAAGUUAGGUUGUUGACUGAUGUAAUUAGCUUAUGUAUGAGCUGUAAACACAACUUUGUAUAGGUUUACAAGCUAAAAUUUCAAGUUUCCAUGCAAUUAGUGGGAGUAGGUGAUGUUUAGGUAAUUAUUUGCUGUUUUUGACAAGCUUAGUGCUUAGUUUAUGUAUUGGUAUUAUGCCAUUAUUCAAUUUCAUGAAUAAAGUUCAGUUUGUUCAUCAAUUUUUCUCUUCAUUUUCUCUUAGCUUUUCUUCCUUUCUCUUGCUCGAAUUCUCUUGUUUGCUCAGCAAGUCUCGAGACUUGCUCGACAAGUCUGUACUGAAUCUGUUAGUUUCAGUUACAGCACCAACAAUUGAUAUCUAGAGCCUAUUUCUUAAGGGAUCUGUUAUACAAAUACAUGGCUUCAUCAAGCUUUUCACCAGCUGCACCUCAAGUCUUCAAUGGAGAAAGCUAUCACAUAUGGGUGGUCAAAAUGAAGACCUACCUGCAGGCAUACGAUCUGUGGGAGGUGAUCAACUUAGAUGUUGAACCAGAACCACUUAGAGGCAAUCCAACAGUGGCUCAGAUCAGGCAGCAUGCUGAUGAGAGGACCAAGAGGCACAAAGCCAUGUUUUGCAUCCAGAAUUCAGUGUCUGAUGUGAUUUUCACAAGGAUUAUGGCCUGUGAAUCACCAAAACAGGCCUGGGACAAGUUGCAGGAAGAGUUUCAAAGGACAGAGAGGACAAGGCAGCAACAGUUGUUAAACUUGAGGAGAGAUUUCGAGAAUUUGAAGAUGAAGGAAGAAGAAACUGUCAAGCAAUAUUCUGACAGGAUUAUGGCUGUGGUUAACAGCAUCAGGCUCCUUGGAGAGCAGUUCAAUGAAGCUAGGAUAGUGGAGAAGGUUAUAGCAACUCUGCCUGAGAGGUAUGAGGCAAAAAUCUCAUCUCUCGAGGACUCAAGGGAUCUGUCUACCAUCUCCCUGACAGAGUUGAUCAAUGCUCUAUAUGCUCAAGAGCAGAGGAGAGCAAGCAGACUGGAGGAGCACCAAGAAAGUGCCUUUCAGGCAAGAACAAAUACUGCCUACAAAGGCAAGAAAGCCUAAAGAGACAAACCAAAGAAUGAUGCUGCAAGGAGAGAAGGUCAGACUUGCAAGCACUGCAGAAAGGUUGGUCAUCUAGAAGAAAAGUGCUGGUUUAAUCCAGAAGCUGUAUGUCAGUAUUGUAAGAAGAAGGGUCAUGUUGAGAGAGUCUGCAAGAGUAAGACCAAAUCGAGACAGAAUCAGUUUCAACAGAUGAAAGCUGAGGCUCGAGUAGCUAAGGAGGACAGUGAUCAAGAGGAGCAAGUCUUUGCUGUGUCAUGCUCAGCUGCUCAGGAAAGGUCCUCAUCUGGUUGGCUCCUAGACAGUGGAUGCACCAACCACAUGACACCUGAUGCUGCAAUCUUCAAGUCUUUAGACAGAAGCUGCAGAACUAAAGUCAAGAUAGGAAAUGGUCAUUUUAUUCAAGCUGAAGGCAAGGGUGAUGUGCUGAUAUGCACCUUACAGGUACCAAAGUGAUUUCAAAUGUGCUGUUGGUGCCUGAAAUUGACAGAAACCUGCUCAGCAUAGCUCAGUUGCUGGAAAAAGGUUAUUCAGUUGUGUUUAAAGACCACCAGUGCCAAAUCAGUGACCCAAGUGGAUCCACACUGAUGGCAGUCCCUAUGGCUGAUAAGAGCUUUGUGGUUGACUGGACAAAAAAGUCAGACAUUGCCUACACAGCCACUUCAGAUGAAUCCAAGCUGUGACAUCAAAGACUGGGACAUGCCAACUUCAGAUCGAUGGCCCGAAUGGUCAGAGAGGACCUGGCUGAAAAUUUCAUCAACUCAGUGGACCAUGAUGAUGUAUGUAAAGUAUGUCAAUUAGGAAAGCAGGCCAGACUCCCAUUUCCCUCGAAUCAAGCCUGGAGAGCCUCUGAAAAAUUCCAACUGGUGCAUACUGAUGUGUGUGGCCCUAUGAAGACUGAGUCAUUAAGUGGAAACAGGUAUUUUAUACUGUUCAUUGAUGAUUUUUCAAGAUAUUGCUGGAUUUACUUCUUAAAACAAAAAUCUGAAGUGGCCUCAGUGUUUUGGAAGUUCAAGACUGCUUCUGAGACUGAAACAGGCUGCAAGCUGAAGACCAUAAGGUCUGAUAAUGGGACUGAGUACACCUCAGCUCAGUUCCAAGCCUUCUGUGAUAAGGCAGGCAUCAAACAUCAACUUACCAACACAUAUACACCUCAGCAGAAUGGUGUAAGUGAAAGGAAGAAUAGGAGUUUGAUGGAUAUGGCCAGGUGCUUGAUGAUUCAGAAGAAUCUGCCUAAAGCACUAUGGGCAGAAGCAGUUAACACUGCAACAUACAUUCAAAAUAGACUUCCAACCAAGGCUUUGGAUCAGAAGACUCCAUUCGAGGCCUGGUUUAGCUUCAAGCCAUCACUGGCUCAUCUGAAGGUCUUUGGAUGCAUCUGUUAUGCACAUGUACCUGCUGUUAAAAGGGACAAAUUGUCUGAAAGGGCUCAACCUGGUGUACUGGUGGGCUACAGCACUGUUAAGAAGGGCUAUAGGAUCUUGGAUCCUUCAACAAACAAGGUGUCAAUUAGCAGGGAUGUGGUAUUUGAUGAAAAGUCAUGUUGGAACUGGGAAAGACAUGAACCUGAAGAAGUUUCUGAAGAACUAGCAACAAACCAAGCUGAGCCAGACCAAAAUGUUCCAGAAAUGGACAUUAAUGAUGAACCACUUAGAGGAACAAGGCCAUUGACUGAGAUUUAUGAAAGGGCUCAUGUAGCCAUAGCUGAACCAAGCAACUUUGAAGAGGCUGAGGCUCAGCAAGGGUGGAAGCAGGCAAUGGCUGAGGAGAUCAGCAUGAUUGAGAAGAACCAGACCUGGGAAUUGGUUGAAAGGCCAGUCAAAAGGAAGGUGAUUGGGGUGAAAUGGGUGUACAAAGUCAAGCACAAUGCUGAUGGAACCUUGAACAAACUGAAAGCAAGGCUAGUUGUCAAGGGGUUCAGUCAGAGGUAUGGCCUGGACUACCUGGAGACCUUUGCACCAGUGGCCAGGCUCGACACCAUCAGACUGCUGAUUGCCUUAGCAGCACAGCUCGAAUGAAAAAUCCAUCAACUUGAUGUGAAAUCAGCCUUUCUGAAUGGUUUAUUAGAUGAAGACAUCUAUGUUGAACAACCACAAGGGUUUGAAACAGUUGGCAGAGAGCAUAUGGUCUACAAACUGAAGAAGGCCCUAUAUGGAUUAAAACAGGCUCCAAGGGCUUGGUACAGCAGAAUCGGUGGCUACUUGACUGAUCUGGGAUUCGAUCGAAGCAAGAGUGAGCCAACACUGUAUGUCAAGAAACAAGGGACACAAAUACAACUCAUUGUGUCCCUGUAUGUUGAUGACCUUCUGGUGACAGGAGGAGAUCGAGUAGUGCUGGCUGAUUUCAAGACCAAGAUGCAGGAAGUGUUUGAAAUGUCUGAUCUUGGGGAGAUGUCCUAUUUUCUUGGAAUGGAGGUGUCUCAAGUACAAAAUGAGAUAUUUCUAAGCCAGAGAAGCUUUGCCACAAAGAUUCUGACCAAGUUCUCCAUGCAAAACAGCAAGGCAACUAAAACACCUGUUGCUGUUGGAGAAAAACUAUCGAGCCAAGGUGAUUUUGAGAAAGUAUGUGAAACAACCUACAGGAGUCUAGUUGGUUGCUUGCUAUACUUGACUGCCACUAGACCAGACAUCAUGUAUGCUGUAGGAUUGCUCUCAAGGUUCUUACAUUGCUGCAAUGAGAAGCAUUUCCAAGCUGCAAAGAGAGUGCUGAGAUAUGUCAAAGGCACUUUAAACUAUGGUUUGAAGUACAGCAAAGAAGGAAAUCUGAAGCUGGUUGGCUACAUUGAUAGUGACUGGGCUGGCUCGAUAGAUGACAUGAAAAGCACCUCAGGGUAUGCUUUUAACCUUGGUUCAGCCAUGUUUUGCUGGAGCUCGAAGAAGCAAAGUCUAGUGGCUCAAUCUACUGCUGAAGCAGAGUAUGUGGCAACAGCAAGUGCUGUCAACCAAGCCAUAUGGCUAAGGAAAAUAUUGGCUGACUUGAAUGUGCAUCAAGAGGAAGCUACUGAGAUCUUCUGUGACAACCAAUCUGCAGUAGCAAUUGCUAAAAAUCCAGUGUUCCAUGGAAGAACAAAACAUUUUAGCAUCAAGUUACAUGUUGUUCGAGAAAUGGAGCAAGCUCAGGAAGUAAAGCUGAUCCACUGUAAUUCAGAGGAUCAACUUGCAGACAUUUUAACGAAAGCCCUUAGUGUCACAAGGUUCGAAUGUCUAAGGAAGAAGUUAGGUGUUUGCUCCAUGCAAACCAAGGAGAAGUGAUGAAGUUGGUUUAGCAUGCAGCAAACUCGACAGCAUGCAGGCCAUGAAGACCAAGACAUGCAGGAGCUGCUGAUGCAAGCUUAUUUUAUUUAUUUUGUAAUUUCUAGUCAAUGAAAUGUAAUCUUAGUUCAUUUCUAACUAAGUUAGGUUGUUGACUGAUGUAAUUAGCUUAUGUAUGAACUGUAAACACAACUUUGUAUAGGUUUACAAGCUAAAAUUUCAAGUUUCCAUGCAAUUAGUGGGAGUAGGUGAUGUUUAGGUAAUUAUUUGCUGUUUUUGACAAGCUUAGUGCUUGAUUUAUGUAUUGGCAUUAUGCCAUUAUUCAAUUUCAUGAAUGAAGUUCAGUUUGUUCAUCAAUUUUUCUCUUCAUUUUCUCUUAGCUUUUCUUCCUUUCUCUUGCUCGAAUUCUCUUGUUUGCUCAGCAAGUCUCGAGACUUGCUCGACAAGUCUGUACUGAAUCUGUUAGUUUCAGUUACAGCACCAACAAAAGUCCAUAACAUGUCAGAUUGAAUUAGUUACAAAUAAAUGAAUCCACAAUUGAUUUGUGGAUCUUUAAAUGAACUUCACCU
rnacentral:lncRNA from 1 species